rnacentral:lncRNA from 1 species
GGCGCCGGCCCGCUGCCCCUCGGCGCACGAUGGGCGGGCGACACGCGCGACUCGCCCCACUUGGUCGAGACCACAGUGCGCGAAACCCUCGUGCCAGGCCCAUGUCACGUGCGUCCAUCGGUCGACCUUGUUGUUGCCGCGCUCGCCAUGGCCGACAACGCAGAGUCCAUUGCGGAGCGCCCCUGCGCCCCAACGCACAGAGCGACGGCACGCACACAACGACCAAAUAAAAAAGGGAACAAUCGACACAAAGGAUGACCAGAGAAAAUCUAAAAUGAAAUCAAACCCAAAAAUAAAAAGAAACAGGCAACGGUGCCAGCGGCCC